AUACGUAGGUGACAAGCGUUAUCCGGAUUUACUGGGCGUAAAGGGCGUGUAGGCGGUCUUGCAAGUCAGAAGUGAAAUUCCUGAGCUCAACUCGGGCGCUGCUUCUGAAACUGCAGGACUUGAGUGCUGGAGGGGAUAGCGGAAUUCCUAGUGGAGCGGUAAAAUGCGCAGAUAUUAGGAAGAACACCGGUGGCGAAUGCGGCUAUCUGGACAGUAACUGAAUCUGAGGCGCGAACGCGUGGGGAGCAAACAGGAUGAGAUACCCUGGUAGCCCACGCCGUAAACGAUGAAUACUAGGUGUAGGGGGUAUCGACUCCCUCUGUGCCGCAGUUAACACAAUAAGUAUUCCGCCUGGGGCGUACGGCCGCAAGGUUGAAACUCAAAUGAAUUGUCGGGG
rnacentral:rRNA from 1 species